CCUUAAACAAGCUCGCAUACACACUCAUCUCUGCUGACGAGUCACCUGAAGGGAGUGAUUUGAAGGCCGAAAAAAAAAAAAAAAUUAGACGCAAUUGUAUCCCAAGCAAAGUUAACUGCGUGAGUUAAGAAGGGCUGGCUGGAAAUUUAGCGUCAUCGGGGCACAGGGAAUGGAAGAAGCAGAGGCAACCAGAGCCAGCGUCCUUGCCCUGCAGAAGCCACAGAGUAUUUUAGCUCGGAGCUGCUGCUCUGCCCUGGCUUGGUUCUUCCUACGGGUUACCUUGAACGGAAACCAAUUUUUUCGACCUUAAGAGGAAUUUCACAGGGUUCCAAAGAUGCUGCCCACAGAAGCCAUAGUGUAUCAACCGCUCUGUCACAAUUCAUCGAGCUUGGUGAGGCGUUACAAUGGGACUCUGUACAUCUGGGGUUUUUUUUUCUCUUGGUACGUGGCAAACCGAGGGUAGUUUUAUCUCCCACAACAGGGCCUUGGCAGUCAAGGAAUUUCUGACGUUUGUCAGAUACCAGCGCCUUCUUUGGAAUUCUCAGCCAACUCAAGGACCGUUAAGAUUAUUAGUGAAAAUUCACGAGCAACUACCUGGUAACCAGAUGUCUUAUAUGCAUAUUCUUACAGGGGGGUUUAUGAGAGUUUGACUAAAUGUCUCAUGUGCACUGUAUUUUUAAAACCAAAUGCUAUCAGGACAAGUGAAAUUGCAAUUGUCCUAAAGAACCCUGGUUGCAGAGUUGCUCUAACUAAAACUAAACUAACCUCCCUCCCUGGCAGGUACACAAACACAAAAGACAACUUUGCAAGAGGGCUUCCGUCUGCCCAUUUUCAGAGCCAAAGGGCUACCCACUUCAAUAUAGGCUCCAUGGCCACAGACUAAACAAUAAACCCCUACAUCAUUGGAAAAUAAAACAAAACAAAACAAAACAAAACAAACAACAACUGUGUCUUGUGACUUGAAGUUGUUUGUGAUAACCAUUAGUUUUAACUAACUUGUCUUGCCAAAACGGUUGGAUUGCUCAUGAGAUAAGAGGGCAAAAUGUCCUUCAACAUGUUUCAAAUAAACAUUUAGUGUGUGUGUGUGUAGGUGAGCUGAAAAAAAGAAAUUGGAUUUGGUUACUUUUACAAUUAGUGUAAAAAUCAGAGGAUGGAUGAGUUAAUCCUUCUAAUCUGCCGGUAUUUGAAAUUCACAUGCUCAAAACCUUGCUAGGAAAGACAAGCCCCUGCCUUUAAAGAGAUUUUCAUUUAAUCAGGAGGGAGGUUGGUAUGGAUUAUACCUUUGGAGGAAUUUAAGGCCACCUUCAUCUUCACUUUCUCAGUGCCCAGCAGAGUGCCUGGCACACAAAUCCUAGCAAAAUUUUAAUUGAAGGGUGCAUUUCCCUCCAUGCUAAAUUCUCUGGUAUAGAAUUCAAUGGCUAUGGCUUUACCACGGAGAAGGGAGGGUUUCAGAGAUUCAGAUGGGGGAUGGAAGACAUAGUGGUUUGAGCCAGCACAGCAGGGCAAGGAGGAGAGGUGAGUCCUGGUGAGGAGAGGCAGCAAGGCAAGACCCUGGCAGUGGUGGUGGCGGGGGAGGAAGGAAGGAUGGGCUCCAUACAGUUGCCUGACCCGAGCUCCAGAUGCCUGUGUGCGCAGGUCUGAGGCUAAGGGGAAACAGAGGCCAACUCUAGGGGGCCAGGCAGAAGUAUUUAAAAAACCCAUUGGUUACAAUAAAUCUGAAGGCAGAGAGUUUGAGGAGUACAGCUAAGUUCUGAGGGUAUAAACUGCUACCACCCUAGACGAACUCUGCUAUACCCUCAUGUACUCUGAUUCCCACAGAACUGCCCCUUCCCGCCUCUGAAAUACCUGGUGUCCGCAGUCACAGGCACUCACCUGCUUUAAUAAUGCAGAAAGGCAAGUGACUUGAGAAAUAGACUCUACAACUGAACUCGAUCAGAGAAAAGACACGACAAGUUUUAUUUCUUCACGGGGCAGCUGGAUAUAGCUGCAGAAGUAUGUCAUUCCCUUUGCCCAUCACGGAAACAAAUAUCAAACAAGGAACCUGUCUGAUGAGGUCAAGAAACAACAGCCUGCGUUGCAGAGAUGUGUCCUGCAUCAAGGCUGGCUCUUAGAGGGCGUGGGGGAGAGGGGGUAUGUGGAAUGUUUUGAUUUUCAUACAGUUCCCAAAUGUUGUGCUGGACGAAAUCGAGAACUAUUUCUUGGAUGGAAUAAAGGUGGUAAAUGAAACAACUAAUCACAACCAACAUCUUUGGUUUUCCUGUCAGAAGGAGAGAAGACGAGUCUCUUGCUGUCUGAGGAGGCUCAUGGGGAUGACGCCAAGGGAAAGGUGCCGGGUUCAGUCUGAGACGCGCUGCGGCAGGAUUCUUGCGCGAGGCUUGCAAAGAUCAGUGAGCGGAAGGCUGGAGCCAGGCACUGCUUCAACACGGUUUGAAUGUGGCAGGACAGGGGAGAAGAGUUAAUGAUCUCCAGCCACAGAGCGGCUUCCCAUAUCCUUUAUGUUAGCUGUACCUUGUUAACAUAUCAGUGUAUGGGCUGUAGGGUGACUUCUAAGCCUUUCUGUCUCUCUUUGGGGAUUAAAAAAAAAAAACACAACAAAAAAACCCACCUUGUGACUGCCCCAUCACUUUACAAAUUCAUUAUUUACACUCCAAUUGAUUUCAGGAGAGAAGCGCCCACACUCAUGGGCACGCGUGUGACAACGAUUCCUUCAAAGCGUGUUGGGAAUCCGAUUUAACAAAGCUCUGAUGUACACAGCAACACAUAACGAAGGGAUUUACUGUCAAAACGUUUAUUGCAAAAUGGAGUCUUAAAACAAAGGAAAGCAAAGAGAAGUUCACAUCAAGGUAAAAUGUAUGACACCAACUUGGAUUUCUGGAUACAUUGUGGACUUUGGGCUGGAAUAUCAAAUUCCAACCAUGAAGUCAGUAACUCAGUAGUCUUACCACACAUAAGUAAAAUUUUAAUCUUCCAUACAAACACGAUACAAGAUUUUUGGCAUAGGACUUGCUCAGAAUAACAUUGCUAUAGAAUAAUUGAGAAAACCAUUUUUUUUUAAACAAUAAAGUGAUAACGCCAUCUAUUCAAAGCUCACACUCAAAGAAUAUAAAUAAUUUCUAUCAUUUAGUACAAAAUCUUUAAAACAGUGCAAAAGCAAUAUGUGCAGUGUAUAGAGUAUCUGACAUUAAAAGAUCUGUUAUUCUGCACAUGAUAUAAAAUAGUUAAUGUAGGUGCACGAAACUCUAGGUUUGAAGUAAAUAAUCCCACACCAGAAAGCUCCUCACAGGCUAUGGAGCGCAAACUAAGCUGGAGGCCGAGGAAACGGGGCUAGUCCCCCAGGUGUCCUGGUGGACACUUGUUUCUGAUCAGGGAAGCCACAUCCAGGGCUAGCAGGCUAUGCCACCACUGAAAGAACAGAACCAAUGCUUCUCCCUGGCAACGCUUAAUAUAAACAGGAAAACAGUCUUACCCCAAAGCAGCAAAAGGCACCUGAUUAUAGAAAAAUUAUGCUCUAUGAUGCAUGUGGCAGAGUGACACUCUGCUAGUUUCAAAGGCAGCAACAAGUCUAGUGUAUCAAAAAAAAAAUUAAAAAAGGAUCGAGAUUUAACUCAGAAUGUUUUAAAAUUACCUUUCAUGAAAUUCUGACCACUCCAAUGGAGACUCCGAAAAAUUCAGUUGUGUACAUUGUAGCGCCAUGAGACAUCAUUUCUGAUCUCUUCUAAACUGCGCGCCCCACCCCAAUUCCUCGGUUUUCCCUGGGAUCAAGUUGGAAUUCCCCAAGUGGUCGUAAAGGCUAACAGACCCACUGCAUAUUAGGAUCAUUGGCUGAAAACAUAAAUAAAUAAAACUACUGGCUGAAAAUGGACCCUCAACAUCUCCAGAGCAUUGAAAACAAGUGUGCUCUGUGCCUCCCACCUCUUCCCAUUGCUUAUUUAUGCAAAAUAUUAAAAUGUGAUCUUGCUUACAUCAAAAGACUGUUCAGAAACGGGUCCUUUUAAAUUAUCCUGCCUACUUUGCAGAAUUAUAGGUACUUCAGUGAUAUUUUUAAAAAUUUAUAGUGGAAUCAGGGCAAAGAGAGAGUGACAUCCUCCCCUCUCCCGCUAAAUUGAGCUGUUUGAUCAAGUUUCCACCAGUGUGCUUAAGGGGAAAAAAACCAUUUCCACAAGAGAGGCCUUAAGAUAAGUGGCACAAAUCUACCAAAUUCAGAAUGUGUAAGUGGCUGUAAUUCUGCAAAUGCAUCUUUUGACUUGGGUAAGUUCAUGUCGGGGAGAAAAAGUAAGAUGUGGAAUUCUAAAACUGCCAGGUUUAGCUAAGUUUCUCAGUGGAGGAAGGGACGAUCCUAUGGGUAUUUUGGAUGGAAUUCUUUAUAGGGUGGGACUGUCCCUGGGCCAAGGGAUGUUACCACUUUGGACACUGGGCACUAAAUGUACCCCCAGUCACGUGACAACCAAAACUAUGCCCUAGCAUCACCAACCACCAUUUGGUGACAGCACUAUUGUGGUUGAGAACCACCAAGAGGGUGUCAUCAAGUUCUACAUGAUCAACUUUAUGAGUAAAGGAGAAAAGAUGGAAGAGUAGUUACAGUUUCAGUUGUAUGGCUCCGAUAAUAUUUACCACAAUUUAGAGUCUCAAUUCUCAUUAUGAAUGUGUUUCUUUAACUCUUCACUUUAUAAAUGUACAUUUUUGUGAGUCAAGUCAUUGGAAAUACAUCCACCACCAAUAAUCUGCCCUUUCAAAAACUGAGCUGAAAAAAUGAAUUAAAAGCUGCACAAUUAACAUGAUUAGACAUUCUGUACAUGGAUAAUAUGUAUUUCUUUUUAAAAUUAAUAAGGCUAAUAAUAUAGUCGGAAGUCUUUUAAAUCAUCUUCACAGACAGAGUGAGACCGUUUUAAGAUUCUGCUCAUGACUCAGAAUGCAGGAGUGUUCCGAACCCUAGAAAGACAUUUUGAUUUGGAAGAGAAAGUAAAACAGACCAGGCCAUAUGGUAAUUAUCUGGAGCCCAGUUCUAGGCAGAGAACAUUUCAAGCUUUUCACUGAGGUUAUCAAAUCUGCUGUAUCUGAAGGCUCUGCAGUUUCCUGAUGGUAGGGUAUUGAGCUCUGAUCAUCUCUGGAAUAUCAGUUAGGAAAAUAGCAGCAGUUGAGAGAUUAGAGAAUUACUACUUGAAAUGACAGUAAACCUUGGGCUUGGCUAUUACCUUUCUCUUUUGGCCCUCUUUGGCUGCUUUCAUGUUUUUAAGGCACCAAAACCUUAGGUAUAAUCAUGGUAGAUUUAAUUAUUAUAAAUUUUUAUUUCAUGUACUUUUUAAAAAAAAAUCCACCCCAUGCAUUUCGUAUGUUCUAAAUUUAUUGCUGGUUACUCUCAAAUGAGAGCCAGGGCACACAUUCUCACACAAGGCACACAGAUCCCAAAAUUAGCCCAUAGAAAUUCCAUUAGCAGUGAGGCCUUUCCUGACCACACCUUAAAGUUCACAGCACAGCAUGGACCUCAUCCUCCCUCCCCGCUGGUUUCCCCACGUGCCCUUAUCCAGUGUUACUGUAUGAUGCAUUUGGUCUGUUUAUUGUCCAUCUCCGCUCCCUAGCAUGGAAGCUCCAUGAGUGUAAAGAUUUUCAUCUAGCUGCUCCCUAGAAUGGUAAUGGGGACAGAGGAGGGGCUCAAUGAGUACUGGUGGGAUGGCUGACUUGACCUUGGCCUGAACAGAUGAGAUACAAGAGGCUUUGAACCAUCUGGUCUUUGGUGCUCUUUCAGGUUGCAUGGCUGCAGAGCCCCAUGGCAUGCUGGGAAGGCAAGAGCCGAAGGCCAUCCCUUCUGCUUCACUCCGAGAUCUUCUGUUUGAGUGGCUCAGCUUGAAUCAGGCCAGACUCCUCUAGGUCUGAGCACCGACAGGAUGCCUAUUUAUGUUUGCACCUGUUUGUCAUCAGCACUAUAUUGUGGUGUGUAUGUAUCUAUGUUUGCAUAGACACAAGAAAAAUAUCCGAUUGGGUAUGAGAGGAACCCAUCUUCUAGGCAGAGUGUUUUUCUGGACCAUGGGUGGUGGCAAGGCUGGCAAAUACUUCAGACUAAGCAAACCUUGCCACUAGCAUGGUCUUCACAGAAUGACAGAAUAGAUCUGCUUAUAUAGCUUCCAUUCUAAAGAUGUUCUCUUCAUCUUUCCUGAGAGCUAUUCACUUUAAUUUUCACUCUAUCCUACCCAACAAAUAGCACUUGAAAUUGAUAGUUUAGUUUUCCAGGUUAUGGAAACCACUUAUUUCCCAGUGUAUUUUCCCUGGCAUAGUUAAGAGUAGCUAACACUAGCUGACCACUUACCAUGGGCCUGGUACUGUGUUAAAUGCUUAACAUGUAUCAUUUCACUUAAUCCUCACAAGAAUCCUUUGAAGUAGGUAGUAUUAUCAUUCUCAUGUUCAAGAUGAGCAAAGGGACACAAAAGUUAAAUAACUUGCUCAAGAUUGCACGGCAAUUGUGAAUCAUGCUCUGACUUCAGAUCCUUCUCUUUAUCACUAUUCAAUAUAGACUGGUCUACAUUUCACACCCAGAAUAUUUUAUAAGUUAUUUUUCUCCAAAUAAAGCUGGCACGGUGUAGUGACCAUUUUAUGGUAUUUUUUGCCCUUAACAGGGUUGGAAGCAUGUCAUGCUUCAAAUUCUAAGAAGUUUUUAUGAUCAAAUAAACUUGGAAAUAGUAUUAGAUAAUGUCAGUGAUGAUACUCUUUCUUAAAUCUUCUGUAAAAAGAACCACCAAAAGUACUUUGGUUUAACAGUCAAAUGAAUGGCACUGCUUUCUAAUUUAGGGUAGAAAAAAGUCUUUGUUCUUUUGCCUUUCUGUAUACAUAUAACUACAAGUGUUUUAUAGUUUAAACAAGCUCUGACAAAUCUGUGAUAACAUUCUGAGGAUAUCUCUCUGGCUAGCUAGGUUUUCAGAGCAGCACCUACAUUCACUUCUCUUUCACACCAGCGUGGCUGAGUCAGGGUUAAAAAAAAAGACACGCCUGGAAGGCCAGAUCUAAUAUAAAAGGGACCCUUCAUCCUGUACUUGUGCCUAAGUAAGGAUAGCUUAUCUAGGUUAGACUCGGCUGUAGCUGCUGGCCUACUCCACAGCCACAACAAUGCCAGAUCAGAGCUGAGUCUGUGACCUACACCACAGCUCAUGGCAAUGCCAGAUCCUUAACCCACUGGGCGAGGCCAGGGAUUGAAUCUGCGUCCUCAUGGAUGCUAGUCAGAUUCGUUUCUGCUGAGCCAGGAUGGGAACUCCUAUCUUUACAUGUAUUUAGAAUCCAGGAUUCUCAUGCCCCUCUGGACAACAAACACACAUACAUAUACCCUUCCUGCCCUGUAUUAACACUCACACUGCCUGGGAGUAUACCUUUAAGACCAUAUAUUUCUCUUUGUAUAAAGUAUAAGCUAAGCCUUAGGUGAAGUUUGUCGUGAAGAAGCUUCUAGGGCGAGCAUUGGUAUGAAAGCCUUCAACAUCUGUUGUUUGUUUCAAAUGAGAGUAUUUCUCCUGUAAAUGCACUUUUUGAGAACAACUCUUGAGUUUUACUUUCAGUAGUUGUGCUAUUAUGUAUUAAAAAUACACUUAGCACUUAGGUAUUUCUAAAGAAGUUUUGCUAUAACCGCCUUUCAUUUCAGUAUUUUUGUUGGGUUUUGUAGCCACAAUCUUCUCUGACAGUGUGGUACAUUGCCAUUAAAAAAAAAAAAAAAA